CGAGUCGGCAGGGCGACCGCGGCGCCCCGACCGGGGUGUCGAGGAAAGUCCGGACUCCACAGGGCAGGGUGGUUGCCAACGGCAACCCGAGGUGACUCGCGGGACAGUGCCACAGAGAACAGACCGCCUCGGCCCAGUGCCGAGGUAAGGGUGAAACGGCGGUGUAAGAGACCACCAGCACCCCGGGUGACCGGGGUGGCUCGGUAAACCCCACCCGGAGCAAGGCCAAAAGGGCACCCACGGGUGCCUGCGCAGGCGUUCGAGGGCGGCCCGCCCGAGCCUGCGGGUAGGCCGCACGAGCCCGUCGGCGACGGCGGGCCCAGAUGGAUGGUCGCCACCCGGGCCUCGGCCCGGGGACAGAAUCCGGCUUACACGCCGGCUCGUCCG
rnacentral:RNase_P_RNA from 1 species